AAAAGCUCGAGGAGUUGCUGGUUGAAGAACUCGGAAAGUAAAAGAAGGUAUGUUGCCGGAGGUGAAAAGGGAAGGCGGCUGAGCAAGGAAUACCUGAUGCAUAAAAGCCACUUCUGGUGAGAGAGAAAGGAAAGACCAAAGCAAACGGAGUGAAGGUUUUCACGGCUCGAGAAAAUAGAGCAGCGAAGGAAGAACAGAGGCAUGCAUCUUAAUGUCGGAAAUGAGGGAAAGAGCAAGGCUCGAGAGUGGAUUGCGACUAAAAAACAUGAAGAAAUCAGGGGUUUCGGAGGAGCGAAAGUCCACUAACUCUAUUUGAGAAAGCAAAUGUAAAUGCAUAAGAAAAAACCCGGCCCAUAAGCAAAGGGAAGAAAAUGAAAAUAAAUUGGCAAACUCUGCUUCAUCUGGCACAGUUGACGCCUGCAACUUUGGCGAGGCCGAUCAGUCUCCUCCGUGGUAUUAUUCGGCAACUCAUCGUCCUCUAAACCCAGUUUCCCUCUGCCGGCAAUCUACUUGAAGGCACCAUCACAUGCCAAGCUCUCCUGGUCCUUCUUUCCGUGCUUGUUGAUGCACUACGUAGGACAACCCCGGCGCUGCUCUUGUGCCCCCGAUGCAGGAUCGCCCGCAUGCACAUGCUGGAAUCACUCCACAUAUACUGCAGCAACAUAAAUUUUCUUCGUCCCUCUGCGAGCUUGGCUGCUGGAUUGACCCCUCCACUCCUCCGAGACGGCGGGCUCACCUCUCGAUAGGUGGAGUUAUUAUAAACAGAAAGUGGAAAGGACACGAUCAGAUUAGAUAAUGUCAAAGGCGUCAACAGUUCCCUCUCAAAUUAGCAUAAAUGGAGAUCGUACCAGUCUCUCUCACACCUUCAAGUACUUGUUGGCCACACAGUUCUGUCUAGAGGAAUUCCAUUUAUUUCAAUUUG